UUGGAGGGCAAGUCUGGUGCCAGCAGCCGCGGUAAUUCCAGCUCCAAUAGCGUAUAUUAAAGUUGUUGAGGUUAAAAAGCUCGUAGUUGAACCUUGGGCCUAGCCGGCCGGUCCGCCUCACCGCGUGCACUGGCUCGGCUGGGUCUUUCCUUCUGGAGAACCGCAUGCCCUUCACUGGGUGUGCUGGGGAACCAGGACUUUUACNCUGAAUAAAUUAGAUCGCUUAAAGAAGGCCUAUGCUCGAAUACAUUAGCAUGGAAUAAUAGAA
rnacentral:rRNA from 1 species